CCUACGGGAUGCAGCAGUGAGGAAUAUUGGUCAAUGGUCGGGAGACUGAACCAGCCAAGCCGCGUGAGGGAUGAAGGUACAGAGUAUCGUAAACCUCUUUUGUCAGGGAACAAAGGCGGGGACGUGUCCCCGGAUGAGUGUACCUGAAGAAAAAGCAUCGGCUAACUCCGUGCCAGCAGCCGCGGUAAUACGGAGGAUGCGAGCGUUAUCCGGAUUUAUUGGGUUUAAAGGGUGCGCAGGCGGUCUGUUAAGUCAGCGGUCAAAGCCCGGGGCUCAACCAUAGAAUUGCCGUUGAAACUGGGAGGCUUGAGUAUGUUUGAGGCAGGCGGAAUGCGUGGUGUAGCGGUGAAAUGCUUAGAUAUCACGCAGAACCCCGAUUGCGAAGGCAGCCUGCCAAGCCAUGACUGACGCUGAUGCACGAAAGCGUGGGGAUCAAACAGGAUUAGAUACCCUAGUAGUC
rnacentral:rRNA from 1 species